rnacentral:lncRNA from 1 species
UCUUAGUCUUUUUCCCUUAUUUCUAAGGAUUGGAAUUAGAAUUAGGUUUCUCAAUAAGUGAAGAACAGAUCGGCUAUGAGCUUGUGGCUGCGAGUGUUGCGACUGCGAUAGAGACGGUGUCACAGCGACUUAACGACCUCGGCGCCGAUGACUCUCAAGUGUGACUGCUUGUUUCCUCAUUUUUAACCUUCAAUCUUCAACUCUUCAACAGGUUCACAACUUCUUCAUUUUUCAUUAUUCAAUCUUCAUUAAGUUAGUACGUUGAACAAUUGACUCAAAGAUAAUAUAGUAAGUACAGAAGUAACAUUAUGGUGUCUAGUUUAUAGUUAAGUCGUAGAGACAUAUGGGUAGUUGGACGCCAUUUACAAAAUACAUUUUACCACUUGGCCUGGGCGAAAUUAAGAGGGAAAGAACUAACUUAUUUGCUAUCUGCAACUUGUUAUUCAGCUUUUCAGUAGUUUGGGUGUACACAAACAGAUUUAAGGGACUAUUUUAUCGUAGCUAUUGUAGUUUUCACUGGGUCUAUUUUCCUUAGGCAUUGUGAUACUAAACUCAGUUAUUUAUUUACACUUAUCUAUUUGUAUGACAUAUGUAUUUGGUCGAAUUAUCUUUAGAUAUGGAAGAUAAUGGAAGUACUACUACCAUUGUUUGAUCACUUUGGCGUAUAGUUGCAGUGGUGAAUUUAAUAUUCUAUUUGUUUGGUGAUAUACUUUUAUAGUUUUUUUCUUUUAUCAUCAAAAAAUAAUAUUCUAACUUAUGAUUUUAUCUUCUUUUUUUAGGUUCAAGUUCAAUAAUGCCCCGUGCUCCUAAAGUUGAUUCGAGAGUCGAGACUAUUUAUGUUAUUUUGAUUUUUGAGAAUUUGUUAAACUUAUUUAAGCUUAAUGUGUUAGACACUUAGAUUUAUGUUAUGGGCCAGUGUUCUUAUCAUUUUAUGUUGAUGUUGAUGUUGUUGCUGCACUGCUUAUUAGUUAAACUUACAACUUUAUGUUUGGCAGAAUGGCAGUAACCAGUAGGUUUGCAAACUUUGCAUAAUGUUAUUGCUACUGUGAGCGUGACACUUUAGUUGUUAUUACUUAUUGGUGUAAACUUGAAUUCUCUCUAUUUUUGUUACAUUGUGUUUAAUGCUGC